rnacentral:rRNA from 1 species
UACGGGGGGGGCAAGCGUUGUUCGGAAUUACUGGGCGUAAAGGGCUCGUAGGUGGCCAACUAAGUCAGACGUGAAAUCCCCAGGCUCAACCUGGGAACUGCGUCUGAUACUGGAUGGCUUGAAUCCGGGAGAGGGAUGCAGAAUUCCUGGUGUAGCGGUGAAAUGCGUAGAUAUCUGGAGGAAUACCGGUGGCGAAGGCGGCAUCCUGGACCGGCAUUGACGCUGAGGAGCGAAAGCCAGGGGAGCAAACGGG